rnacentral:rRNA from 1 species
UACGUAGGGUGCAAGCGUUGUCCGGAAUUAUUGGGCGUAAAGAGCUCGUAGGCGGUUUGUCGCGUCGGCUGUGAAAUCCCGAGGCUCAACCUCGGGCCUGCAGUCGAUACGGGCAAACUAGAGUGUGGUAGGGGAGACUGGAAUUCCUGGUGUAGCGGUGAAAUGCGCAGAUAUCAGGAGGAACACCGGCGGCGAAGGCGGGUCUCUGGGCCAUAACUGACGCUGAGAAGCGAAAGCAUGGGGAGCGAACAGG